rnacentral:rRNA from 1 species
GUCCUUAACUGACGCUAAUGCUCGAAAGUGCGGGUAUCGAACAGGAUUAGAUACCCUGGUAGUCCGCACGGUAAACGAUGGGUGCCCGCUGUUGGCGAUACACUGUCAGCGGCCAAGCGAAAGCGUUAAGCAUCCCACCUGGGGAGUACGCCGGCAACGGUGAAACUCAAAGGAAUUGACGGGGGCCCGCACAAGCGGAGGAACAUGUGGUUUAAUUCGAUGAUACGCGAGGAACCUUACCCGGGCUUGAACUGCAGGAGAACGAUUCAGAGAUGAUGAGGUCCUUCGGGACUCCUGUGGAGGUGCUGCAUGGUUGUCGUCAGCUCGUGCCGUGAGGUGUCGGCUUAAGUGCCAUAACGAGCGCAACCCCUUUCUUCAGUUGCCAUCAGGUUAUGCUGGGCACUCUGGAGACACUGCCACCGUAAGGUGUGAGGAAGGUGGGGAUGACGUCAAAUCAGCACGGCCCUUACGUCCGGGGCUACACACGUGUUACAAUGGGUGGUACAGAGAGCGGGCUGCCUGCAAAGUCAGCCGAAUCAUGAAAGCCAUCCUCAGUUCGGAUUGGGGUCUGCAACCCGACCCCAUGAAGCUGGAUUCGCUA